rnacentral:tRNA from 1 species
AGUUAUUUAUAUGUUGAAAGAAUUAUGUUUUGAACACAUACAAAAGAGGUUAGAAUCCUCUAUUAACUU